UCCCACUCACAAGGUCUUGAAAGUUCUCUCAGUCUCCGCCAACCAGUACUGGGCAUCUUCGAAAGAGGAUCCCCCUGCAAAAUUGGAAGGGUUCAGUCUCCUAUACCUCUCUAUGUAGCUUGGGUCAAUCAAAGAAGGAGCUGGGUUCCAUGGAAGAGGGACUAGGCCCGGCUGGGGAUAGACUGGGGGCCCUGUGGUGGCACCUGAUGAUAUAGUGGGUGCACCGAAUUGUACUGUGGCGGUGCCGGGCAGUACGGUGGCUGGGGCACCG
rnacentral:lncRNA from 1 species